CAUUAUUUGAUCCCCAAUUUCAUUUUCACGAUAAACCCAGCCCCUCUCUCUCUCUCUCUCUCUCUCUCUCACCAAUUGUAUCAGCCAUCGAUUCGCUCCGCCAUCCUUUACCAGUGCUGUCAUCCUCCCAGCGACUUGCUCCACCAUCCUCCACCACUCCGACGCCCAAAUCCUCCACUCCAAUAGUAUAUCUCUCUUCCUCUCUCUUAGAUUCACACUCUCUUCCUCUCUCUUUGAUCUGUUUGUGUUGUUUCAGAUCUGUUUGUAUGAGCUCAGAUAUGAGCGAAUUCAAAUAUGUUUGAUUUUGUUUCAGAUUUGUUCUCUCUCGAAAAGAUCUCUCUCUCUCUCUCUCUCUAGAGAUCUCUUGCAAUCUGAAAUCUCUCUUUGUUGAUCUCUCUUUGUUGAUCUCUCUCUCUCUCUCUCUCUUGCCUUGUUCUCCGAUUUCCAUUGAUUUUUGGUGAUUUUGAUCCGGAAAAUCUUGUUCUCCUCUUGACUUGAGUGUAUAUCUUCGAGAGUGUUCAAAUCUCUCUGAUUUAAAUUGAUUUAGAGCUCAAGUCCAUGCAGUGGGAUACAUGGAAAGCUCUUCUCGUUCAUGUGAUCGAGCAGCAACAAUGGAAAUUAUCAAAGCUCUUCCUAAAGGGUUAAAGAUUGUUGUCCUUUCUGCAGACUUCGGGCUGCGAGAUAUUGAUGAAUAUGAAAAAUGGUAUGGACAACCUCAUAGAACACCAGAUUUGCAGAGAGAAGCUGUCUAUGGUUUGACAGAGAUUUAUAGAAGAGAAAUCCAAGAUGCUCGUUUAGUUGCAAAUCCUGGCUGUUAUCCAACAUCUAUUUAGCUUCCUCUUGUUCCCUUGAUAAAGAUAGGCUGAGCAUUUUCUUGACUUGGGCUUGAGCUGUCUAUUCAGGAUAGAAUGCUACCAUUGGAAUGCAUAAAUUCUAGCAGGCAC